AUCCACAAAGGGUAUUCUCUCGACAAAUAGUCAAUCCUAGACGAAGUACAAUCCUCGGAUUUCGAGAACUCACUCCCUUACAUUCUCCUCUCCUUAAAAGGAGUUUCGUCCUCGAAACGAACUCAAUUCUUUACCUUAACUUAAAUUCAUACCUUACUCCUCAAAUAGAUGAGGGUGGUGCUUUCUCAUUAGAUCCUCGAGUUUUCAGGUAGCUUCGCGAUCCUCGUGAUUGCUCCACCUAACCUUCACAUAGGGGAAUGUAUCAUAUCAAUGAAUACUAAAAUCAGAAAAUAAAAAAUAAAACUUGCUUUAUAUACAUAAAACAUUGCAUUCUCCAAAAAAGAAAAAGUAGACAAAUUGUUAAUUAUACUUAUAUCUCUUAAAAAUUGUCAAAUAUAAAAUCAAAUAAUUAAAAUAAAUGCUCAUCCGAGUCAUUUUGAUUAUGUCUACUUUAAAAGGCAGUAGAGGCAUAACCUUCCAACUUAUAUAGUGGAUAGAACACAUAUUCACAUGUCGUACAACUGUUCCAAACCAAUCACCUAAAAUUCCCCCGCCUUUCUUUAUAUGUUAUCCAAAUUUGUUCCAUUUUAUUAUAAUUCUUUGUCCUGAUAAAGUCCAAACAUCUUUUGCUUGUGUGAAUCCUCUUUUUUUCUUUAAAUUACCUUACUUAUCUGAAUAAAAAGAGUUACGAAGGAUUUUAAAGAUAAAUCGUAAGAUCUAGCAUGCAAAAAAUUAAAUUAAAAAGAGUAAAGAUUACCAAUUAUCUCCAAUGUAUCAUUAUUUUCAACAUUUAUUGGUUUUUGCACUUGUGGAUUGUCUUUAGAGUGUUCUCGUUCUGAGGUAGGCUGAUUUUCUGAAAAAGCAGCUUCUAAGGUAGGUGAUAAGUCAUCA
rnacentral:lncRNA from 1 species